CCUAGAUUGUCCUAGAUUCUCUUUCUGGCUUUGCCGAUGAUUCACUGUGUAUAUUGUGGUGAAUUAUUUUGUUUCAGCUCUGUGUUUUUAUCUUUGGAAAAUUGGGGACCUUGGUGCUUAUAGCAUCUACCUACCUCCUCUGGGUGUGACAAGGGCACUUUGAAAAGGGGAUGGGAGAUACACACAAGAAGGAUGCCAUACAGAUGUUAUACUAAGCUGCAUUUAGUCCCAUAAAUUAAAAUAUACUACUCUGAUAAGAAUGAAAACAUUUACAAACUGUGACAUCCUGAUUUCCUAUUCUCUAGAGAUUCUAGAGAAAUACUGAAUGUGUCUGCGUUGAGCUUUAGUCGGUACAAGAUAUGGAUUGGGAAGCAGGAGUCAGGACAAUUAAGACUAGAAUCUACAAUUUUAACAAUUUAAAAAUUGUUUUUUUAACGUUUGGAGCCCACCCUUCUGAAAUCACCAUCUCCUAAAAGAUCCACUACAGCUUGUCCUGCUUCACAAAGCAAACCUUGGGAGAAAACAUAUGGGUGCUUAGUUGGAAGAGAGAGGCUUCUUAACAUUACCUUCAACCCAGCCCCAAGAAAACUCCUUUUAACCUUCAACUUGGAUUCCAGUGAAUGAAGUUGUUUGAAUGAGAUGAAGAAUGAAGGUUCAGGGAAGUUGAUUGCUUUGCUUGAGGUGGGUCUGUCUCUAGAGCCUAUACUCCUAGUGGACAUCUCCUCCUGACCAAAUAGUGAUAAGAACCUAUCUUUUCUGUCAAGACAGCUUCUGCUCUUUCAUGAGGGCUCUCCCAAGACUAUUAGGACAUGGAUAAUCAUGGUUUCUGAUUCUACUUCACCCCCAGCAUGAGAGAAGAUGGUCCUUGAAUGGACCUGCUCUCCUAGAUCACACUCAAAGGCCAAAUCCUCCAACUAAACAACAGAUAUUUCAGAUUAGCAAAAAUGGAAAUCAGAAUGUUUGUGCUUUGCUUGUAUUUUUUGAUACACCGUGGUCUAGGAGUCAAGGUGCCUGAGUCAAAUGACUUCUCACUGAUUCAUUGUUGAAAAACUCUGUGGUUCAGACCACCCAAAGGUCCUGCCCCUUCUGCCUUCCCUCACCCACAGGUUGUGUAUGUUCUUUUUGUAAUUCCAUGUCCUUUUGCUGCAUGAUAUCCACUUCAGAUUAUUUUUCCCACAAGAACUUGUGACUUGGAAAUCCACAAGAUGCAUAAUUAGCUUUAUCUAUGUUAUGGGCUUAAUUGUGUCCUCCUCCCCCACUCAUUCGUUUGUUGAAGUCUAAUCCUCUGUACCUCAGAAUGCGACUGUAUUUGAACACAGGGUUUUUAAAGAAUUAAUUAAAUUAAUAUGAGAUUAGUAAAGUUGGCCCUAUUCCAAUAUGCUUCCUGUCCUUAUGAGAGGAGAUUAGAACACAGACACACGCAGAGGGAAGACCAUAAGACACGGAGAAGACGGCUAUCUACAAGCCAAGGAGAUAGACCUCAGAAGAAAGCGACCCUGCUGAUACCUUGACAUUGGACUUCUAGCCUCUAGAACUGAGAAAAUAAAUUUCUGCUGUUUAAUCUAGCCAGUUUGUGGUACUUUGUUAUGAUAGCCCUAGCAAACUGAUACAGUCUGUAAGGGAAUUAGAUCCUGUUCUGUGUUUUCCUAGAUUCUGCAUUUGUCUGUUUGAUAUCCAUUAAUCACAGGGCCAAUUAUAUUAACUAUUUUUUCUUAUUUUCUGUAUUCUUGAUGCUCUGGCAUUUGGGGGUCUUAAAGACAGAGGCACUGCCCUUCCCAGGGCUAGCCCUUUCUUAGAGAUAGCAAAAGGCUUGGCUGGGAGCACAUCUCUCAUAUGCAAACCAAUCAAUCCCAAGUCUACAGCCCCAACCACCUCCUUAUCUAACUCUCACACACCAAGGCAAUUUCUCCCCUGCCCUGAAUCCUCCCAGGACCAGGUACUAGGCAACUGGAGACCACCUCAAUAGCCCAAAGCCUGCUGGAAUUACUCAAACUAGCCAAUUCUAAGCUGUUUACUCUGUCCUGCCUUCCCUUUCCUACAGAAACCCCACUCAAGUCUGGCCAAGUCCUUCUCCUUGCUCUUUUCUGCCUCUCGACCAACAUUGGUGCUUCCCUAGUGGCCCCACGUUGCAUGCAGUGACCUCCUCUCUGGGACCUGUGAGUAUAAUACUUUUCUUCCUUUCAAGCUUUGUUCUCUUCUCCUGUGCCUACACAAAAGCCAAGUGCAUGAUCAGGGCAAGACGUAUGCUCAGAAAAGAACUGAGAAUGGGCUGGCCCAGUGGCGUAGUGGUUAAGUUUGAGCACUCCACUUCGGUGGCCCAGAGUUUGCAAGUUCAGAUCCUGGGCGCAGACCUAGCACCACUUGCCAGGCCACACUUUGGCAGCAUCCCACAUACUAAAUAGAGGAAGAUUGGCACAGAUGUUAUCUCAGUGGCAAUCUUCCUCAAGCAAAAAGAGGAAUAUUGGCAACAGAUGGUAGCUCAGGGCCAAUCUUCCUCACAUACACACACAAAAGAAAAGAACUGAGAAGACCCUAAGCUUUCACCUUGGUCUGAUCCCUAGGCUCAGUGAAAGCCUAGCUAAGCAUUGAAGGUGGGCCCCUGAACAUAGUCAAUUUUCAAAAAUUGGGAGAGUUCUGGGCAUUUGAGGAAAUCUCUUUCAAAACAGUAGCUGAACAAAAGCUAAGGAGCAGAGACUUCUGUGACUACUUUGACAAGGAAUAUGGUCUUUGCAAUAAUAGUUUGGGAAAAUCAAUUAAAAAAAUGGACUUCUAUACCUUUCAACAACCAAUAAAAGAGCAAACCUCAG
rnacentral:lncRNA from 1 species